AUGGGGUACAUCCAAGCGAUGUGCAUCCGUUCGGCGGGUUGCAAGGAGCAAGUGAAGCACGCUCCUCCUAGCGGUUCAACCAUUGCUCAAUAUGACGAGAUAGCUCAAGAGAGGUACAAACAAAUGGUCAUGAAGGGCAAACCAUUUUGCCUCCUACAUUGCUCGGAUUUGUCGGAAGAGCAUGAGAAGUGGAAGAUGAGAUGGAUGACGACGGAGAUGAUGUUGAUGAAGAGGAAAUGA
rnacentral:rRNA from 1 species